AUAAAACCUUUUUAUAGAAUUUGGACAAGUGCCUAUGACCUAAACGAAAAAUAUUUGAUGGUGUAUACAUACAGUAUUAUAGGCGGUGUUGUAUACAAAUAAAGAGCGGUUUGUUCGCUAACAACUCUUACUUUAAUUUAAGAAAUAAAGUAGGUAUCUUAUUAAUAUUGUUAAUAUGCGUAUUAUCUCUAGAUGGAUUUAUCCGCCGUGGUCUGCUCGUUAUUUAAAUCCAUUAAUCAAAUUAAACCCCUCGGUAUAAACAAACAAAUAUCAUGUUCGCUUUUAUCUAAAACUAUUUUCUUCUUGGAAGGGAAACCAUAUU